rnacentral:rRNA from 1 species
AGAUUGAACGCUAGCGGGAUGCUUUACACAUGCAAGUCGAACGGCAGCGCGGACUUCGGUCUGGCGGCGAGUGGCGAACGGGUGAGUAAUAUAUCGGAACGUGCCCAGUAGCGGGGGAUAACUACGCGAAAGCGUGGCUAAUACCGCAUACGCCCUACGGGGGAAAGGGGGGAUUCUUCGGAACCUCUCACUAUUGGAGCGGCCGAUAUCAGAUUAGCUAGUUGGUGAGGUAAAGGCUCACCGAGGCGACGAUCUGUAGCUGGUUUGAGAGGACGACCAGCCACACUGGGACUGAGACACGGCCCAGCUCCUACGGGAGGCAGCAGGUGGGAAUUUGGACAAGUGGGGAAACCCUGACUCCAGCCAUCCCGCGUGUGCGAUGAAGGUCCUUACGGGUUAGUAAGCUACGUUUUGGACGAGGAA